rnacentral:rRNA from 1 species
CGUGUAGGCGGUUUUUUAAGUCUGAUGUGAAAGCCCUGGGCUCAACCUGGGAAGUGCAUUGGAUACUGGAAGACUUGAGUACGGGAGAGGGUAGUGGAAUUCCGAGUGUAGGAGUGAAAUCCGUAGAUAUUCGGAGGAACACCGGUGGCGAAGGCGGCUACCUGGACCGAUACUGACGCUGAGACGCGAAAGCGUGGGGAGCAAACA